UUAGUAUUCAAUAUAUUAAAAAAUCACAUACAGCUUGUCUUAUUCCAGGUGUCUAAGAAGCAAACAAUAAGACAGAAUUAAAAGUACAAGAAUUUUAGUAGGCAUAUUAGGGCUCCCAUAACAAAAUACCACAGCUAGGUGACUUAAAUGACAGAAAUUUAUUGUCUCACAGAUGUGGAGGCUAGCAGUUGGAAAUCAAGGUGUUAGCCAAGUUGGUGCCUCCUGGGCAUGAGGGAGAAUCUGUUCCAUGCCUUCCUCUGGCUUCUGGUGGUAAUUCAUUGGCUUGUAUAUGGUGUUCUUCCUGUGUCCUCACUUUGUCUUUUCUUUGUAAGCAUCGGUCUCUUCACCUGGUGUUCUUGACUAUAUAUGCGGACAUCUAUCAUCCUUGGAUUAAGGGACCAUCCUACUGCAGUAUGACCUCAUUUCAACUAAUUGCAUCUGCAACAACCUGAUUUUCAAAUAAGGAUACAUUCUGAGGUACUGGGGUAGGAUUUCAAUAUAUGAAUUUUGAGGGAACAUAAUUCAACUCAUAACCUUAGGGGAAAUGCCCACAUAAAAGGAAGUAAGAAGGAAGACAAGCAGACUGUGAGAGCCACCGGAGCUGCUGGUAGAGGGUGCAGACUGUCUUACAGUCUAAGAGGUGUCAGAAAGUCAGAGAGAAAUCCUUGAGACAAAGUCAGCUGACAAAAGUGUUCUAUCUUCUAAGAAUGGGUCUGCUUCAGUAUCCCCACUACCCUCAGUCUUUGGUGAGGGGCAGUGCAUUGGUGGCGUGGCUUGGGCAUAAAUAGGGCAGUGGAUUUCAAAGUGCUGCAGUUGGAACCCUCAGUCAAUGCCAUUUCUGUAGUCAACAGUCUAGAAGCUGUUUCCUCUUGGCUGACACAAUACCCUGCUCCUUCCCAGAACCAUGACUCCAUUUGUCAGUCUGGUGAAACCUCCUUCUCUCC
rnacentral:lncRNA from 10 species